UGGUCAUUAGGGAGAGACUGGAAAUUAGACUGGUCAUUAGGGAGAGACUGGUUAUUAGAGUGGUCAUUAGGGAGAGACUGGUUAUUAGAGUGGUCAUUAGGGAGAGACUGGUUAUUAGAGUGGUCAUUAGGGAGAGACUGGUUAUUAGAGUGGUCAUUAGGGAGAGACUGGUUAUUAGAGUGGUCAUUAGGGAGAGACUGGUCAUUAGACUGGUCAUUAGGGAGAGACUGGAAAUUAGACUGGUCAUUAGGGAGAGACUGGUUAUUAGAGUGGUUAUUAGGGAGAGACUGGUCAUUAGACUGGUCAUUAGGGAGAGACUGGUUAUUAGAGUGGUCAUUAGGGAGAGACUGGUCAUUAGAGUGGUCAUUAGGGAGAGACUGGUUAUUAGAGUGGUCAUUAGGGAGAGACUGGUCAUUAGACUGGUCAUUAGGGAGAGACUGGAAAUUAGACUGGUCAUUAGGGAGAGACUGGUUAUUAGAGUGGUUAUUAGGGAGAGACUGGUUAUUCGUGGUCAUUAGGGAGAGACUGGUCAUUAGACUGGUCAUUAGGGAGAGACUGGAAAUUAGACUGGUCAUUAGGGAGAGACUGGUUAUUAGAGUGGUCAUUAGGGAGAGACUGGUUAUUAGAGUGGUCAUUAGGGAGAGACUGGUUAUUAGAGUGGUCAUUAGGGAGAGACUGGUUAUUAGAGUGGUCAUUAGGGAGAGACUGGUUAUUAGAGUGGUCAUUAGGGAGAGACUGGUCAUUAGACUGGUCAUUAGGGAGAGACUGGAAAUUAGACUGGUCAUUAGGGAGAGACUGGUUAUUAGAGUGGUUAUUAGGGAGAGACUGGUCAUUAGACUGGUCAUUAGGGAGAGACUGGUUAUUAGAGUGGUCAUUAGGGAGAGACUGGUCAUUAGAGUGGUCAUUAGGGAGAGACUGGUUAUUAGAGUGGUCAUUAGGGAGAGACUGGUCAUUAGACUGGUCAUUAGGGAGAGACUGGAAAUUAGACUGGUCAUUAGGGAGAGACUGGUUAUUAGAGUGGUUAUUAGGGAGAGACUGGUCAUUAGACUGGUCAUUAGGGAGAGACUGGUUAUUAGAGUGGUCAUUAGGGAGAGACUGGUCAUUAGAGUGGUCAUUAGGGAGAGACUGGUUAUUAGAGUGGUCAUUAGGGAGAGACUGGUUAUUAGAGUGGUCAUUAGGGAGAGACUGUUUAUUAGAGUGGUCAUUAGGGAGAGACUGGUCAUUAGACUGGUCAUUAGGGAGAGACUGGAAAUUAGUCUGGUCAUUAGGGAGAGACUGGUUAUUAGAGUGGUUAUUAGGGAGAGACUGGUUAUUAGAGUGGUCAUUAGGGAGAGACUGGUUAUUAGAGUGGUCAUUAGGGAGAGACUGGAAAUUACACUGGUUAUUAGGGAGAGACUCGAAAUUACCCUGGUCAUUAGACUGGUCAUUAGACAGGUUAUUAGGGAGAGACUCGAAAUUACCCUGGUCAUUAGACUGGUCAUUAUGGAGAGACUGGUCAUUAGACUGGUCAUUAGACUAGUCAUUAUGGAGAGACGGGUCAUUAUGGGUCCUGCAGAGUAG
ensembl:lncRNA